rnacentral:rRNA from 1 species
GGCGGCGUGCCUAAUACAUGCAAGUAGAACGCUGAAGGAGGAGCUUGCUUCUUUGGAUGAGUUGCGAACGGGUGAGUAACGCGUAGGUAACCUGCCUGGUAGCGGGGGAUAACUAUUGGAAACGAUAGCUAAUACCGCAUAAGAGUAGAUGUUGCAUGACAUUUACUUAAAAGGUGCAAUUGCAUCACUACCAGAUGGACCUGCGUUGUAUUAGCUAGUUGGUGGGGUAACGGCUCACCAAGGCGACGAUACAUAGCCGACCUGAGAGGGUGAUCGGCCACACUGGGACUGAGACACGGCCCAGACUCCUACGGGAGGCAGCAGUAGGGAAUCUUCGGCAAUGGACGGAAGUCUGACCGAGCAACGCCGCGUGAGUGAAGAAGGUUUUCGGAUCGUAAAGCUCUGUUGUAAGAGAAGAAACGAGUGUGAGAAGUGGAAAGUUUCAACAACUGUGACGGUAUCCUACCA